rnacentral:rRNA from 1 species
UAGGGAAUCUUCGGCAAUGGACGAAAGUCUGACCGAGCAACGCCGCGUGAGUGAAGAAGGUUUUCGGAUCGUAAAACUCUGUUGUUAGAGAAGAACAAGGACGUUAGUAACUGAACGUCCCCUGACGGUAUCUAACCAGAAAGCCACGGCUAACUACGUGCCAGCAGCCGCGGUAAUACGUAGGUGGCAAGCGUUGUCCGGAUUUAUUGGGCGUAAAGCGAGCGCAGGCGGUUUCUUAAGUCUGAUGUGAAAGCCCCCGGCUCAACCGGGGAGGGUCAUUGGAAACUGGGAGACUUGAGUGCAGAAGAGGAGAGUGGAAUUCCAUGUGUAGCGGUGAAAUGCGUAGAUAUGUGGAGGAACACCAGUGGCGAAGGCGGCUCUCUGGUCUGUAACUGACGCUGAGGCUCGAAAGCGUGGGGAGCAAACAGG